GAACCUGCAAAUAUCUUUAGUGUUCCUGGUAUUCGUUCAUCUAGGAGCAAAGAAAAGGAGCUGUCACACCGCAAAAAGAUAAAAUAACUGACACAACAAAUGCAGGGCCAAAAGGCACAAUUCGGAGUACCUCAAGGAUAAUAGGUGCAUAAAAUUCAGUCACAAACACAUAUAAUCCUCACAUUACAUAAAACUCAGUCCUGGAACAUAGCCAGACUAGUAUUAAACAGCUAAAUUUGACCAAACACAGGUAAGGCAACUUCCACAGCCACAACCGCAUAACAAAUCAGGAAUCACUGGGACAAUGCCAUCAUCCCUCAGAGUUUCGCUGCCUGGAUGUCAGAUGAUGCUUCCCCUCCCUCCAAGGCGCCUACUUGGAUCGCUGCCUCAUCUUUCGGCGCUUCCUCUUGAGCCUCCUCAUCCUCUUCUUCUUCCACUGCACAUUAAGACGAAAUGCAGAUCAUCAGUACAAAUUGCAUAGUGCUAGAUGCGCAGGAACAUGAGAUAAUUCCACAUGAAACGAGAAAGUAGUAUGUACUUCAGAAUCAGAAGAUUGAGUGUUUCAUUGGAUAUCAUCACGUGAUUUUCAGAAACACGGACCAAUUGUCCUUCAUCAUUUCCCAAACUGCCAAUUUGGCAUUGCAAAAAGAGAACUAUUCUAAGAAGGUCGUAGCUAUCUACAAACAGGUUAGGCAAAGCAAAGUAGAUCUGCAGUCAGUUUGACAUUCAGAAUGAGUAGGAGGAUUUUAUCAUCAAAUAGAUCAGACGCCAAUUGUCUUCCUCAUCAUGCCAACCGACGCAAUUAUACAAAAUAAAAACAGUGGAAAAUGAGCUAAAGAAAUGGAUAAGCAAACGUUGUUCUCUCAGACAAAUGCCUCGAUUGUCCACACGGUGUAAUAGAAUGGAUUACAUCAGACUCGUCAUCUGUUUUCAUCAUCACAGAGAACAAUGGACAAACGAAAACAGCAAAAAAAAAACAUAAAUCUGGCUAACAUAACUAGAGGCAGUAAUUAGAUCUCAUAGAGCAAGCAAAUCUGGUCGAAAUAGCAGCGGUUCUCUCAGACAAAUUUGCCUCACUUUUGUCCCCACGGUUGAAUGGAAUGGAUUGGAUCGGACAUCUAAUCAGUGUUGAUCAUCACAGAGAACCACUAAUUACGCAAGCGAGCGGUAGCAACGGCGAGAACAAACCCUCGCUAAACACUAGCACAUGUCCAGAUCUACCUCGGUCGCGGAGCAGCUAACAACAGGGAAGGGAGAUGACGGGCAGUACGAACCUUGGCCCUCAUCGCGGCGGCGGAGUCGGUCUCGCUCUCCUGUUCGCGGCGGCGGCGGCGGCGGCGGUGUGUGGACGAACUUAGAUUGUUGACGGCGGGGGCUCUCGCCUCGUACUUAUACGGGCUGGGUGCUGAAGGGGGGGGGAAACCCUAGCGGGGUUGGACGGGUGGACGGCUCGGAUCAGCCAGUGAACGGCGUUCUGAUCCGAUUAGUAAUCUGGUUUGUGGGCCUGUUGGGCCUCCAAACAACGCCUAGGCCCACGCUAACAUUUGACUGGACUUGAUUUCCUGAAGGGGGGAAAAAGAAACUUGACCAGUCUUUACUUUUAUUCUCUUUAUUUUAUAUUACUUUAAAAAGAGUAGUGUUCCUUUUUCUGCCAGACGGAGUGAUUCGUCCAACAUUUUUUUAUAAUCACUAGCAAAAGGCCCGUGUGUUACAACGGGCCAUUGAUAUUUUAGUAUUUCAACACUGAUUGUGCACAUCAAACUGAAAUAUCUCCUUCUAUUGUUAAUUGCUAGUGAAAUAAUCGAGAGGAGAUAAUAUGCCUGAAUAGUGAAGUUGUGAGCAUAGCUUAUUUCUCCUUCUCCUUGACUCAUAUGCAUCAUUUGCUUGGGGGGCAAGCUUGUAGCAGAGUUAAACCCAAAAAAAAGUUGAAUACAAAUCAAGGGAUAUAGCAGCAUUCAACUAAAUUAGUAGUGGAGUAGAGAAGCCCUGGAGCAUAUAAAGUAAAUGAUACCUCUGACAAAGCAGGUUUAAGAAGUGGAUAGUAAGUUUGAAAACAUGAACAAUGCAUAGCAAGCUUUCGUACAUACAAAUUCCCUUGUAUUGAUGAAAACAUAAAUUCACCUAUAAAAAACUAACAAAUUUAGUUUGUAUAUAUACUCUUAGUACACAGUCGAGUCAACACAAACAAUUUGCCUAUGAAAGGAUCAAGUUGGAAUUCCAUUGCUCGAUGGGUGGACGGCUCGGAUCAGCCAGUGGACGGUGUUCUGAUCCGAUUAGUAAUCUGGUUUGUGGGCAUGUUGGGCCUCCAAACAACGCCUAGGCCCAUGCUAACAUUUGACUGGACUUGAUUUCCUGAAGGGGGAAAAAGAAACUUGACCAGUCUUUACUUUUAUUCUCUUUAUUUUAUUACUUAAAAAAGGGAAACGUUUCCUGCGGCGUGCCGGCGGAACGCUUGGCCAGUCGCGUACGCUUCGUUCGAUCGAAAGCGAUCAUGCGGCCCACGUGUGGCCUCACCCCCUCGGCCCCACAUGCUCCCUCUUCCUUAUCCCCAUAUGUUUUCUUUUCCUUAUCCCCUCAAGCACCACUCAUUUUUCUUGCUUAUCCCUCCAUGCCCACCAUUCAUCCCAUGCACCUCUCUCUCCCCCUGGCCUACCUUCAAUCAAUAGCUUGCCGGCGAUGGAAGACGUGUGUGGCGAGCUGGCAGUCCGGGGCUGCACACAUGAAGCCGCGGAGGUGCGUGAGCACGACUCUCGGCGAGCGAAGAGGCGCGACGCCAAAGCUACAUCGGCAACUUGGUAUUUCCACUUUGCAACCUGAUACGACGAGUGGAGGGUGGUUUGCUGCAACCAGUGGCCCCUACUACUACGACCAACGAGGUGGCUGUGCCGUGAAGAUGGACGACGGAUGCGGCGAUUUUUGUGCUGAAACCCACGAUAGCCUCUGCUACAACCGGCCAGCCAUUUUGCUGGAACCAGCAUCGGUAAUUGCUGCCAUCAGUCACGCGAUAUGCUGGAACCAAACGCGCACUCGUCGCCGGCGUUUUUUUUCUUUUGCUAGAGUUGGGUGUUUGAUUUUGCUGGAAGUAGCUAUCCUUUUUGCUACAAAUCGACCACACGAGUUCUCCCUGUUUUGUUGUUUCUGCUGUAUCCAAUGUCUUGUUUUGCUGGAAACAACCAUCUUUUUUGGUACAAAUCGACAACAGGAAUUCUACGUGUUUAGUUGUUUUUCUGCUGCAUCCGAUGUUUCGUUUUGCUGGAACCUAGUAUUUUUUUAUUCAACCGAUCAAUGAAGGAUUGUUGCUUUCAGAUCUUUUUGCUAGAUACUUCAGUGCAAACCGACGCCCACGGCGAGCCGAAACCAGAGCAUGGUGAUGAGCUGGAACCGGCGAGCUUGCUUUGCUGCAAUGAGCCGCAAGCUACUAUGAUCAGCAGGGCGAAGAGCUGGAACGGGCGUCCAUUUUUGCUGGGAUGGGCGCCCAAAUUUGCUGGAACAGGAGUCCCGGGUUGCUGCAUCGUUCGCCGCACAGGGGAGCUACGAUGUUGGCGAGCUGGAACCGGCGCCCAAUUUUGCUGGAGCCGGCAUCUCGACAUGCUGGAACCGUGUGAAGGCAGGCGGCGGCUGAAUGGCUGAUUCGACGCUGAUGGUGUUUUGCUGCGACCAGUGAUGGAAAAGCUUCAACCAUCGGGCGAGUUGUCGAUGGCGUGAGGGGUGACGCCGGGGUGCUGCGGCCGACAACACGGUCGGUGCUGCGCGUUCUACUACAACGAGGAGUCGACCACUAGUUGUUGCAUCCGGCCACGUUGACGCUGCCACCAGCUACAACGAGAAGAUGCCAUGGCGAGCUUCGCCGCCGACGGCCGGCAGCGAAGGUACUCGUGCGGGACGGUGAGCAGAAUUGCGCGCGGCUGCGGCCGCCCGCAAGGGAGAGCCGAUCUGGGCCUUCGUAGACUCUCGUGACAAACGAAACAGCAAGGAGGGACCGGCAGAUGGAGCGGUUAAGGUCACUUCAAUCGAGCGUUGCAUGAGGAACCGGCCGAAAUUUUGGGCCGGUCCGCCGGCGCCUAGUGCUGGCCCUUAAAAAAAAGUAGCGUUCCUUUUUCUGCCAGACGGAGUGAUUUGUCCAACAUGUUUUUCUUGGGAACCGCCUUAAUCAUCUCAUCUUUUUGGUUCAAAAAAAUCGUCUCAUCUUUUAUUGACUUAUCAAAUAAAUUAUAUUUUCUUUCAUAAGUCAAAAUAAGUGAUUACAAAAUAAAAUCAUGGGUAAGAUUUGUUAAGUAUUUUUUUACACAAUCACAUAACAUAAAGAUGUAAAUUAUGGGAUAAUGUAUUGUAAUAUAAUAUAUAAUAUUUAUGCCCCAUAGCGACACGGGCAAAUAUCUAGUUCUGCUAGCAAAAAGACUAAUUACAAAACAAUAAAACUGAGCUAGCUACACGCCACCACAGCGAUUCACCGCUUUUGGCCGUCCGAUCAUUUGUUAGACGCCCCAGAUCUUCCAAUUGUCCACUGGCGGUCGCUUGGUCAUUUUCACCGUGCCUCACCCAAUGUAAAAGGGCUGCUGCUCCGGAAAGCAACCUGUGGGUCAUGUAGUUAAUUGGGCCCAGAAGCAGCCCAAUUGGUUGUGUACGUCAGCCCAUGCUAGGUUUCCUUUCCACAUCGACAGAGAAAAGAAAAGAACAAUUCAUCCUUCUCCUCUUGUUCAUACCCACGGUGCAGGGUGUCUAAUUUCUCAUGUUCCUUUCGUGCUAGGAAGCUCGUGGGGAUUGACCAACUGUCAGUUUGUUGGAGUUUGAUCUGUCCCGAUGGGCGACAAACAUAUAGCUGACUGAAGGCACGAGUAUGGCCUAUGGACUAAAGGAUUUGUUCCUUUCCCUCGGUGGCAACAUCCUAUAUGGCAGUACCUUUUCGCCUCCUUUUACCAGCCGUAUAAUUCAGUGAGUCGUUAGUAACUGUUUUGAUUGGUUGUUAGUAUUCCGGCACUGCCUUAUAUAUGGAUAUUCAUUGUUGAUAUGUGUUACAUGGUGUGAUCCCGAUCGACUCCAAUAUGGACACCCAGGCACCACACCCAGGCUCAUGCAAAUGCUCAAAACAGCCCGGUAACGCCACCACUUGUUGAUCAAAACGUUGUCCUUCUGAGUACUGAUUAGGAUUACAUGCAACCUUCUUGCUGGAAAUACGCUUCUGAAAAAAGAUGCUAAGCUGGCCUGAUAAGAUUGGCAUUAGGCUUUUGCCGUAGGAUCCUGGAACUCUGAAUUCUAGGAACAGCACCUACCAGGUUACCUGAUGUAAUCCGUAUCCUUGCAUGAGGUUUGGAGUACGUGGUUUUUCAAUUUUUGUUGGACAGUUUUAGUCGAGUUAGGUGUGUUCAAGGAUUAGCUUUGGUUUUCCCAUUUUACUCGCUAAGAAAGGUAACUGAAAUUUUGUUUCUGCUCAAUUUCAUUAGGUUGCAAGAAAAUGACUGGUUGAAAUUGCUUUCCUAAACAAAGUAAUAGAUGUACAAUAUUGAUCAACAAAUGGGCAACAAGUCAACAACGACCCAGUAGAAAUUUUAUUGUGCUGAAUAGGGCCAAGUAUAUUAUCAAACCAUUGUUGGUAAGAGGAUAAUUUACUAUGAUUCAGUUGGCAAAGAGGCUCUGAUCUGCAGUUUAAAUGACGAAGAAAUACUGGAACAUGGGGAAGAGAAGCAUGUUUCACAAAAGAAGAAGAUCCGCUAAUAUGGUAAUAAUACAUCCUAGUUAAAUAGAUUGGUUUUUCUGUAUUACGUGCUCUUCUGUCGUGAACUGCAAUUGAUUACCACAACAUGCUAUGUUUUCAUCCGUUCAAGUCUGAAGAAUGGGUACUAUCUAUCAGUCUAUAUGUUUGAAUUUUUUUUCUAAUAUCUCUACUCCUAAUGAAGCAGUUGGUAGCCUGGUACUCCGGUUUUAUUUUCGUCCGGUUUUAUUUCGUCCCACCUCCCACCACUCCGUACUACUGGUUUUUUAUCUAUCUACAAAUCUCCCCUCCCACUGGUUUAAGCCGGUUAUCAAUUUUUGGUAAUGCAAUAAAAGUCAUACGGGAAUAAAUCAUAUCACGGUCGGCAGUUAAUCUCAAACCUGCCAAGAGAUUUGGUAACAGAAUAAAUUCAAAAGGAAGGGUGGGGGAAUGUUCCUAUACAUAAGGAUGGUAAUCUCCAUCGCAUACCAUUUACUCCAGAAUCAAUCGCAUUAAUAAUCUCCAUCGCAUAAAUAAUUACUCCAAAAUCAAUCACAAUCAUAAUCUACAUCGCAUAAUUAACUUCUUCCUAUGACCACCUCGCUCCACCAAUCCCACCUGCCGUUUUCUACCAUCACGAUCGAUUUUCUCGCGUCCUCUCCUACACGCACAAAAAUAUAGGCCCAGCCUCGACCGUGGGCUGGGACUCAUCCGUCGCGCACCGCCUGCUCUGCAACGACGCCCAACGCAACCUCUUCUUUGAUGCCCCCGCGCACCCCUCGCCGCCGCCACCAACGCCCUGCGCGUUCGCCUCUACGGCCUUGAUGAUUGCACCCGCUUUCGUGACGUCCUCGCGCUCAAGCGCCGCCGGCGCAUCCACGCCUGCGUCAGCCAUGCCGAGGAGGUUGAGGAGCCCCUCGAGCCGGCCCUUGCCCUCGCCUGCGUCAACGACCCCGCCCAUCUUGGCGGGGGCGAUUCCCCCAUCGCCCGACUCAUCUCCGACGAGUAUGGCAUCGGUGGGUACGCCGCGUCGUUCGUAUGCUUGGCAGGUUCCAGAACACCCCGCGACGUGUAUGAGGCUGCUAAGCUUGACCAUGGCGAGGGGCUCGUGCUCGAGCUCGACGAGACGCAAUUCGAUCUCGGAACCAACUACGAGCUGGAUGGUGAGACUGCAGAGCAGGCAGGGGGCGCGACGAAGAUGGAAGUGGCGGCAGUUCAAGCUUGUCGCUGCCGAAGACCCUAGAGAGGUGCGUGAAGAGACCUGGUUAGUUUUGUUGGGCCCCACUGGUAGAUGCUCCAUGUCUCCUCCUCUGGUUCCUUGUGCAUUAUUGGGUUGUCUUAAUUUUCAGUCAGGAACACGUAGCCGUGAAUUUUUUUGAUUAAUAUUGAUGUCAUCGUUACAUAUUGGUACCGGGUAGAUUUGAUGUAUUAUUGUUAAGCUCUCAAGACCAGGCCUGGUUUUACAGAUGUUUAGCGCACCGGUUCCUGUUCAUUUACAACACAGCCAUGCGAUCUAUUAAGUGAUGUUUCUCUGAAUUUAUGACAGGUAAACUGCGGUAAUAACAAAUCAGAUGUCAUCUCUCAUCUUGCCGAUUCAACCUUGGAAGAUAUGGUAGAGACGAGAGGCGGUUUGGUCCAUCUGGUGGAAGGGGGAGUGGAGAUAGUAGGAGUGGAAAGCAACUCAGUCCAUCCUGGCGGAAGGGAUAUAUAUAGGCUGACAUGUCAUCGGUGCUGGGCACCACAGGCAAGUGCUGUUUAGUUGAGUCCCAAUCACGAAUUAGAAAAAAAUUCUUUGGGUUCUUGGAUAGAUGCUUAUGGUUUGUUGCGUCAUUUUUCAGGUUCAAUAUGCUGGCUGGCGCCGAGCCUCACUACUGAGUUGAAGAACUACUUGCAACGGUUGCCAAAAGUUGUGUUAAAAAAAUAGGCCCACCUUCAUAAGGAUGAUGUAAAUUGCAGCCAUACUCAGGUUUAUUCUUUGUUCCCUGCAUAUUUUUAUUUAACCACGUUAUGUUUUAGCCACUAGAUGGAAAAUAGAAAAAGGAAACGGAGAGAAUCACUUAUUUUCGUGAUAUGAUAUUUAUUUAAUAGUGAUUGCUAUUUGUUUUGAAUAUUUAAGCAUAAGGAUACCACAAUUAAAUUAUGGUUACAACACGAAAGUUGUAGAGUAGUUAAUCUCUAUCUCUACUCCUAAAGGGGGAGUUGGUAGCCCGGUGCGCAGGUUUAUUUUCGCCUCACCGAUUUAUUCUCCCUCACCUCCCAGCAUCCCCUCCACGCUGGGUUUUCUCCGUCCGACUAAAAACCAAAUCAAUUUGCAUGAUCCUCCUUGUUUGUUUUUCGGCUAAUGUCCUCCUAUCCUAGAGCAUGUUCAUCUGACUAAUCUUCUUAGUUAAUGCCCUCCUUGCCUGGAUCAUGUUCAUCCGAUUGACAAAGGCUUGGCCAUCUUGUAAUAGUAGAUGGUGAAGUGGAUAUAUAUACUACUCCCUCCGUCCGAAAAUACUUGUCAUCAAAAUGAAUAUAAAGGGAUGUAUCUAGAACUAAAAUAUGUUUAGAUACAUCUCUUUUUAUCCAUUUUGAUAACAAGUAUUUCCGGACAGAGGGAGUGCUUCAGUUUGCAUGAGAACAACCGCUUAUAUGUGUGCCUCAAUAGUAAAGUAGGAUUGCUUGGAUUAUUUUCUGUAGUAUUUUUUCCAGUUUUAAAUGUUUAGUUUCUUAACUUAUUAUGAGGCUUGCAUCGAUCAAAGAAAUCAUGCUCCCUUGGCUUAAUCAAAUGUACUUAUGUUUGCUAAUUUAUUUUUAGUGUGUGUUUCCUCCUACUAUCUUAUUAUUCUAUAGCUAACUAUAUUUUGGAAUCUGGUGGGUGCAAAGAAAAUGGCAGUUUCUAGAUUUCUGUAGUAUUUCUGGGUAACAACAGGUUCCAAAGUGACGGGCAUUGCUAAAUCAGAUAACAUACUAUUCAAAAAGAGAACACAUUCAUCCCUUCAUUUUAGAGAUUCAAUAAAGCAAGCAAAACUUGGAAUCCAAGUCAGAAUACCAACUAUUGUACUACUGAAUGCACAUUUAUUUGCCGACAUGAAACUAUCUAUCACAUGUAGGUGUGUUUGCUCCUCGGAGCAUAGCAAAAUGAUAUGCUCUUACAUAAACAUUAUCUUGCUUACAGUGUUAAUUCAAAGCCUUAAUUCAAGGUCGGAUCUUGCUUACAAUGUCAAUAUAAUCGCUUUUAAUCUCUUUCAAGAUUAAUAAACUGCACAUGCAUGGCACGCAAAUAGGACAAACUUGACUAGAUCUACACAUAUAUUUUUAUCACUUCUAAUAUCUCAUCGACUGUUUACAUGCCAUAUUGCAUACCAAGAAUACAAGAGUGCUGACUUUAUUUUAUUUUAUUUUAUUUUAUUUUAUUUUAUUUCUGAAAUAGUUCCCAAUUAGGCUUACAAUUAUUUUAUAUUAGUGUUACUUCCUUUGUCAAGCUUAUGAAGAAUGUAUUUCCUUGAACAGUAUUUCAUCCAUUUGGAUUUAGGUGACAUGUGUGGUGGCACGAGAAAAUGGAAGGCCCUAAGCUGAAGGAGAGCAUCAAUUGACAUGAGUGAUAAGCAAUAUCUAUUAGAAACACAUACUAUCAGGCUAAUGCAAACCACUUGGGUAUGAAGUAUACUUACCACAACUUUCUAGGUGUUGAUCAACUUGUGUUUUCUUGUUAGUAAAAGAAACAUGUUGUUUUUUUGUGGUUCAUGGAUUCAUGCUCAAUGUUGAAUUAUUAUCUGAUCUGCAGAAGCAUGUCUUACUGCUGCUCAAGGUCACAUGAUUUAUAAUUUAUAACUACAAUUAUUUAAAUCAGUAUCUUGCACGAAGUCCUGACAUCUGGCUUUAUCAAAGAUUCCACUAUGUUUAUUUCUCCAUCAUAUCGCACAAUGAAUAAUAACAGUAGAUAGAUAUCCCCUUUUUAUGCAAUGAAUUUCAUGAAAUAAAACAGCGUCCAUCACCGUCUCUGAUGUAAUCUUAAGUGCACAUGCAUGGCUUAAUGUCACUGCUAUCUCGUAGUUUCACAUGCUAUUCAAGUUUACGGCAUACAGUACUUAACAUAUAAGUUGUGUCAUAGUAUUAGUGUCAUCUUUGGCUGCUUCCUUUCUUGAAUUUUCCGAUGACAGUGUACAUGCCUUAACAUAUUCGAAGUUGUUGAUUUUUUUGUUGCAAAUAUAAUAUUUAGUAAUUUAACGUGAGCCCUUGCAGGUCCAAUUAAAGCUAUUUGACCAGAAGCUAGGUGAUAUGUGCUCAAAAGAAUCUACCCUGUUAUGCACCAGUUUUUUGCCUUAACAUUGUUUCUGCAAUUACACUAUAUAUCUUGUAUUAACUGGAUUUUUAAGAUGACGAUUAAGGAAUUCAUCUACAAUUAGGAACUUACUUCGCGACAAGGAAGGUCCAGUGGUUGGGCAACAACAUGUGGAAGGAUAAUUACUGGAUACAUUUUUUUAGCGAACAACAGCGGAGCGAUUUGAUGUCUCAAAACAUGUAAGCUGACUUGCCCUCCAUGGAAUGGAAUGACUACAAAAACUUUUGUCAUUUCAUCUAAGAAUAUUUUAAAUUAGUUAAUAAAUCAUACAGACUUGAUAUUUUCUUGGUCUCAUGCAACUAUGUGUGGUUUCUUACUUUACUCCACAAUCAUCUGUGGCAAUUAUGAGGUAUUUUUCGCCAUUCGUAUUUAUUCCUUAAUUUUACUAUGAAUAUAUGAGAGUACACACCAAGGGGUUCGCAAAAAGUACAAAAAAACUAGGAGACAAGCACGAGUCACCUUAUGAGGUGAUGAUGUAGGAGACACAAUGAGGUGAAAGAGACGUGAUGGACAUAGAAGAGUAAACCCACGAGGAUAAAGAGAUGUCAUGCACAUAGAAGGAGGAAGCGAGGACCUCGAUCCACAUUAUCAAAGACAUAGAUAAGAACAAGAGUAUCACACUUCCCACAUCGACCAACUAAUGACACAUGUUGCUAUUGGGGCAUAUCACCCUCCCUUGCAUUAUACAUAUUAAUAUUAAGAUGAAACACUUCGUUGAAUGCAUUUCUAUUAUAUUGUUCUAUGGCAACACCCGAGCAUUCUGCUAGAAAGGAUGCUCGGGUGUAGACAGAAUCAUAUAUUAUAUCAUUAUUAGUAUCAACAUGUUUCUAAAUGUUUUCAUACUCAGUAUAUGAUGUUAGAUUCAACAUGAGAUCUAAAGUUUUGUGUGAAGCCAAAUAUGCAGGUGUUAGCAAUACUGUUUGAUAGCUUGGGGGUACGAUGUGGCAAACGCGCAACGGCUGGCUAGCUGUGUUGGAGAGCAAGAGAUGUCCAGCGAGAAACAUCCCACUACAUGUUGGGGAAUGUAGUAAUUUCAAAAAAUUUCCUACGCACACGCAAGAUCAUGGUGAUGCAUAGCAACGAGAAGGGAGAGUGUUGUCUACGUACCCACGCAGACCGACUGCGGAAGCAUUGACACAACAUAGAGGAAGUAGUCGUACGUCUUCCCGAUCCGACCGAUCCAAGCACCGUUACUCCGGCACCUCCGAGUUCUUAGCACACGUACAGCUCGAUGACGAUCCCCGGGCUCCGAUCCAGCAAAGCGUCGGGGAAGAGUUCCGUCAGCACGACGGCGUGGUGAUGAUCUUGAUGUUCUACCGACGCAGGGCUUCGCCUAAGCACUACAACGAUAUGAUCGAGGUGGAAUAUGGUGGCAGGGGGCACCGCACACGGCUAAGAAAUGAUCUCAAGGAUCAACUUGUGUGUCUAGAGGUGCCCCCCUGCCCCUGUAUAUAAAGGAGCCAAGGAGGAGGGGCUGGCUGGCCAAGGAGGGUGCGCCAGGAGAGUCCUACUCCCUCUGGGAAUAGGAUUCCCCCCCAAUCCUAGUUGGAAUAGGAUUCCUUAAGGGGGGGAAAGGAGAGGGGGGGCCGGCCACCUCUUCUAGUCCUAAUAGGACUAGGGGAGGGGGGAGGCGCGCGGCCACCUUGGGCUGCCCCUUUCUUCUUUCCACUAAAGCCCAUUAAGGCCCAUAUAGCUCCCGGGGGGUUCCGGUAACCUCCCGGUACUCCGGUAAAAUCCUGAUUUCACCCGGAACACUUCCGAUAUCCAAACAUAGGCUUUCAAUAUAUCAAUCUUUAUGUCUCGACCAUUUCAAGACUCCUCGUCAUGUCCGUGAUCACAUUCGGGACUCCGAACUAACUUCGGUACAUCAAAAUGCAUAAACUCAUAAUAACUGUCAUCGUAACGUUAAGCGUGCGGACCCUACAGUUCGAGAAUAAUGUAGACAUGACUGAGACACAUCUCCAGUCAAUAACCAAUAGCGGGACCUGGAUGCCCAUAUUGGCUCCUACAUAUUCUACGAAGAUCUUUAUCGGUCAGACCGCAUAACAACAUACGUUGUUCCCUUUGUCAUCGAUAUGUUACUUGCCCGAGAUUCGAUCGUCGGUAUCCAAUACCUAGUUCAAUCUCGUUACCGGCAAGUCCCUUUACUCGUUCUGUAAUACAUCAUCCCGCAACUAACUCAUUAGUUGCAAUGCUUGCAAGGCUUAUGUGAUGUGCAUUACCGAGAGGGCCCAGAGAUACCUCUCCGACAAUCGGAGUGACAAAUCCUAAUCUCGAAAUACGCCAACCCAACAUCUACCUUUGGAGACACCUGUAGAGCUCCUUUAUAAUCACCCAUUUACGUUGUGACGUUUGGUAGCACAGAAAGUAUUCCUCCGGCAAACGGGAGUUGCAUAAUCUCAUAGUCAUAGGAACAUGUAUAAGUCAUGAAGAAAGCAAUAGCAACAUACUAAACGAUCGGGUGCUAAGCUAAUGGAAUGGGUCAUGUCAAUCAGAUCAUUCAACUAAUGAUGUGACCUCGUUAAUCAAAUAACAACUCUUUGUUCAUGGUUAGCAAACAUAACCAUCUUUGAUUAACGAGCUAGUCAAGUAGAGGCAUACUAGUGACACUCUGUUUGUCUAUGUAUUCACACAUGUAUUAUGUUUUCGGUUAAUACAAUUCUAGCAUGAAUAAUAAACAUUUAUCAUGAUAUAAGGAAAUAAAUAAUAACUUUAUUAUUGCCUCUAGGGCAUAUUUCCGUCAGUCUCCCACUUGCACUAGAGUCAAUAAUCUAGAUUACACUGUAAUGAUUCUAACACCCAUGGAGUCUUGGUGUUGAUCAUGUUUUGCUCGUGGAAGAGGCUUAGUCAACGAGUCUGCAACAUUCAGAUCUGUAUGUAUCUUGCAAAUCUCUAUGUCUCCCACCUGGACUAGAUUCCGGAUGGAAUUGAAGCGUCUCUUGAUGUGCUUGGUCCUUUUGUGAAAUCUGGAUUCCUUUGCCAAGGCAAUUGCACCAGUAUUGUCACAAAAGAUUUUCAUUGGACCCGAUGCACUAGGUAUGACACCUAGAUCGGAUAUGAACUCCUUCAUCCAGACUCCUUCGUUCGCUGCUUCCGAAGCAGCUAUGUACUCCGCUUCACAUGUAGAUCCCGCUAUGACGCUUUGUUUAGAACUGCACCAACUGACAGCUCCACCGUUUAAUGUAAACACGUAUCCGGUUUGCGAUUUAGAAUCGUCCGGAUUAGUGUCAAAGCUUGCAUCAACGUAACCUUUUACGGUGAGCUCUUUGUCACCUCCAUAUACGAUAAACAUAUCCUUAGUCCUUUUCAGGUAUUUCAGGAUGUUCUUGACCGCUGUCCAGUGAUCCACUCCUAGAUUACUUUGAUACCUUCCUCCUAGACUUAUAGCAAGGCACACAUCAGGUCUGGUACACAGCAUUGCAUACAUGAUAGAGCCUAUGGCUGAAGCAUAGGGAACAUCUUUCAUUUUCUCUCUAUCUUCUGCAGUGGUCGGGCAUUGAGUCUGACUCAACUUCACACCUUGUAACAUAGGCAAGAACCCUUUCUUUGCUUGAUCCAUUUUGAACUUCUUCAAAAUCUUGUCAAGGUAUGUGCUUUGUGAAAGUCCAAUUAAGCGUCUUGAUCUAUCUUUAUAGAUCUUUAUGCCUAAUAUGUAAGCAGCUUCACCGAGGUCUUUCAUUGAAAAACUCUUAUUCAAGUAUCCCUUUAUGCUAUCCAGAAAUUCUAUAUCAUUUCCAAUCAGUAAUAUGUCAUCCACAUAUAAUAUCAGAAAUGCUACAGAGCUCCCACCCACUUUCUUGUAAAUACAGGCUUCUCCGAAAGUCUGUAUAAAACCAAAUGCUUUGAUCACACUAUCAAAGCGUUUAUUCCAACUCCGAGAGGCUUGCACCAGUCCAUAAAUGGAUCGCUGGAGCUUGCACACUUUGUUAGCUCCUUUUGGAUUGACAAAACCUUCCAGUUGCAUCAUAUACAACUCUUCUUCCAGAAAUCCAUUCAGGAAUGCAGUUUUGACAUCCAUCUGCCAAAUUUCAUAAUCAUAAAAUGCGGCAAUUGCUAACAUGAUUCGGACAGACUUAAGCAUCGCUACGGGUGAGAAGGUCUCAUCGUAGUCAACCCCUUGAACUUGUCGAAAACCUUUUGCGACAAGUCGAGCUUUGUAGACAGUAACAUUACCAUCAGCGUCAGUCUUCUUCUUGAAGAUCCAUUUAUUCCCAAUUGCUUGCCGAUCAUCGGGCAAGUCAACCAAAGUCCAUACUUUAUUCUCAUACAUGGAUCCCAUCUCAGAUUUCAUGGCUUCAAGCCACUUUGCGGAAUCUGGGCUUACCAUCGCUUCUUCAUAGUUUGUAGGUUCAUCAUGAUCUAGCAGCAUGAUUUCCAGAACAGGAUUACCGUACCACUCUGGUGCGGAUCUCGCUCUGGUUUAUCUACGAGGUUCAGUAGUAUCUUGUCCUGAAGUUUCAUGAUCAUCAUCAUUAGCUUCCUCACUAAUUGGUAUAGGUGUCGCAGAAACAGUUUUCUGUGAUGUACUACUUUCCAAUAAGGGAGCAGGUACAGUUACCUCGUCAAGUUCUACUUUCCUCCCACUCACUUCUUUCGAGAGAAACUCUUUCUAUAGAAAGGAUCCAUUCUUAGCAACGAAUAUCUUGCCUUCGGAUCUGUGAUAGAAGGUGUACCCAACAGUCUCCUUUGGGUAUCCUAUGAAGACACAUUUCUCCAAUUUGGGUUCGAGCUUAUCAGGUUGAAGCUUUUUCACAUAAGCAUCGCAGCCCCAAACUUUAAGAAACGACAACUUUGGUUUCUUGCCAAACCACAGUUCAUAAGGCGUCGUCUCAACGGAUUUUGAUGGUGCCCUAUUUAACGUGAAUGCGGCCGUCUCUAAAGCAUAACCCCAAAACGAUAGUGGUAAAUCAGUAAGAGACAUCAUAGAUCGCACCAUAUCUAGUAAAGUACGAUUACGACGUUCGGACACACCAUUACGCUGUGGUGUUCCGGGUGGCAUGAGUUGCGAAACUAUUCCACAAUUUUUCAAAUGUACACCAAACUCGUAACUCAAAUAUUCUCCUCCACGAUCAGAUCGUAGAAACUUUAUUUUCUUGUUACGAUGAUUUUCAACUUCACUCUGAAAUUCUUUGAACUUUUCAAAUGUUUCAGACUUGUGUUUCAUCAAGUAGAUAUACCCAUAUCUGCUUAAAUCAUCUGUGAAGGUGAGAAAAUAACGAUAUCCGCCACGAGCCUCAAUAUUCAUCGGACCACAUACAUCGGUAUGUAUGAUUUCCAACAAAUCUGUUGCUCUCUCCAUAGUACCGGAGAACGGUGUUUUAGUCAUCUUGCCUAUGAGGCAUGGUUCGCAAGUACCAAGUGAUUCAUAAUCAAGUGGUUCCAAAAGUCCAUCAGUAUGGAGUUUCUUCAUGCGCUUUAUACCGAUAUGACCUAAAACGGCAGUGCCACAAAUAAGUUGCACUAUCAUUAUCAACUCUGCAUCUUUUGGCUUCAACAUUAUGAAUAUGUGUGUUACUACUAUCGAGAUUCAUCAAAAAUAGACCACUCUUCAAAGGUGCAUGACCAUAAAAGAUAUUACUCAUAUAAAUAGAACAACCAUUAUUCUUUGAUUUAAAUGAAUAACCGUCUCGCAUCAAACAAGAUCCAGAUAUAAUGUUCAUGCUCAAUGCUGGCACCAAAUAACAAUUAUUUAGGUCUAAUAUUAAUCCCGAAGGUAGAUGUAGAGGUAGCGUGCCGACCGCGAUCACAUCGACUUUGGAACCGUUUCCCACGCGCAUCGUCACCUCGUCCUUUGUCAGUGUUUGCUUAAUCCGUAGUCCCUGUUUCGAGUUGCAAAUAUUAGCAACAGAACCAGUAUCAAAUACCCAGGUGCUACUGCAAGCUCUAGUAAGGUACACAUCAAUAACAUAUAUAUCACAUAUACCUUUGUUCACCUUGCCAUCCUUCUUAUCCGCCAAAUACUUGGGGUAGUUCCGCUUCCAGUGACCAGUCUGCUUGCAGUAGAAACACUCAGUUUCAGGCUUAGGUCCAGACUUGGGUUUCUUCUCCUGAGCAGCAACUUGCUUACUGUUCUUCUUGAAGUUCCCCUUCUUCUUCCCUUUACCCUUUUUCUUGAAACUAGUGGUCUUGUUAACCAUCAACACUUGAUGCUCCUUCUUGAUUUCUACCUCCGCAGCUUUCAGCAUUGCGAAGAUCUCGGGAGUAGUCUUGUUCAUCCCUUGCAUAUUAUAGUUCAUCACAAAGCUCUUGUAGCUUGGUGGCAGUGAUUGGAGAAUUCUGUCAAUGAUGCAAUCAUCUGGAAGAUUAACUCCCAUCUGAAUCAAGUGAUUAUUAUACCCAGACAUUUUGAGUAUAUGCUCACUGACAGAACUGUUCUCCUCCAUCUUGCAGCUAUAGAACUUAUUGGAGACUUCAUAUCUCUCAAUCCGGGCAUUUGCUUGAAAUAUUAACUUCAACUCCUGGAACAUCUCAUAUGCUCCAUGACGUUCAAAACGUCGUUGAAGUCCCGAUUCUAAGCCGUAAAGCAUGGCACACUGAACUAUCGAGUAGUCAUCAGCUUUGCUCUGCCAGACGUUCAUAACAUCAGGUAUUGCUCCAGCAGCAGGCCUGGCACCCAGCGGUGCUUCCAGGACGUAAUUCUUCUGAGCAGCAAUGAGGAUAAUCCUCAAGUUACGGACCCAGUCCGUGUAAUUGCUACCAUCAUCUUUCAACUUUGCUUUCUCAAGGAAUGCAUUAAAAUUCAACGGGACAACAGCACGAGCCAUCUAUCUACAAUCAACAUAAACAAGCAAGAUACUAUCAGGUACUAAGUUCAUGAUAAGUUUAAGUUCAAUUAAUCAAAUUACUUAAGAACUCCCACUUAGAUAGACAUCCCUCUAAUCCUCUAAGUGAUCACGUGAUCCAAAUCAACUAAACCAUAACCGAUCAUCACGUGAGAUGGAGUAGUUUUCAAUGGUGAACAUCGUUAUGUUGAUCAUAUCUACUAUAUGAUUCACGUUAGACCUUUCGGUCUCCGUGUUCCGAGGCCAUAUCUGCAUAUGCUAGGCUCGUCAAGUUUAACCUUAGUAUUCUGCGUGUGCAAAAACUGGCUUGCACCCGUUGUAGAUGGACGUAGAGCUUAUCAUACCCAAUCAUCACGUGGUGUCUGGGCACGACGAACUUUGGCAACGGUGCAUACUCAGGGAGAACACUUCUUGAUAAUUUAGUGAGAGAUCAUCUUAUAAUGCUACCGUCAAUCAAAGCAAGAUAAGAUGCAUAAAAAGAUAAACAUCACAUGCAAUCAAUAUAAGUGAUAUGAUAUGGCCAUCAUCAUCUUGUGCUUGUGAUCUCCAUCUCCGAAGCAUCGUCAUGAUCACCAUCGUCACCGGCGCGACACCUUGAUCUCCAUCGUAGCAUCGUUGUCGUCUCGCCAAUCUUAUGCUUCUACGACUAUCGCUACCGUUUAGUGAUAAAGUAAAGCAUUACAUCGCGAUUGCAUUGCAUACAAUAAAGCGACAACCAUAUGGCUCCUGCCAGUUGCCGAUAACUUGGUUACAAAACAUGAUCAUCUCAUACAAUAAAAUUUAGCAUCAUGUCUUGGCCAUAUCACAUCACAACAUGCCCUGCAAAAACAAGUUAGACGUCCUCUACUUUGUUGUUGCAAGUUUUACGUGGCUGCUACGGGCUUAAGCAAGAACCAAUCUCACCUACGCAUCAAAACCACAACGAUAGUUUGUCAAAUAGACUCCGUUUUAACCUUCGCAAGGACCGGGCGUAGCCACACUCGGUUCAACUAAAGUUGGAGAGACAGUCGCCCGCAAGCCACCUAUGUGCAAAGCACGUCGGGGAAACCGGUCUCGCGUAAGCGUACGCGUAAUGUUGGUCCGGGUCGUCUCGUCCAACAAUACCGUUGAACCAAAGUAUGACAUGGCAGUAUGACUUAUAUCGCCCACAACUCACUUGUGUUCUACUCGUGCAAAUAACAUCAAACCAUAAAACCUAGGCUCGGAUGCCACUAUUGGGGAACAUAGUAAUUUCAAAAAAAUUCCUAUGCACACGCAAGAUCAUGGUGAUGCAUAGCAACGAGAAGGGAGAGUGUUGUCUACGUACCCACGCAGACCGACUGCGGAAGCAUUGACACAACAUAGAGGAAGUAGUCGUACGUCUUCCCGAUCCGACCGAUCCAAGCACCGUUACUCCGGCACCUCCGAGUUCUUAGCACACGUACAGCUCGAUGACGAUUCCCGGGCUCCGAUCCAGCAAAGCGUCGGGGAAGAGUUCCGUCAGCACGACGGCGUGGUGACGAUCUUGAUGUUCUACCGACGCAGGGCUUCGCCUAAGCACUACAACGAUAUGAUCGAGGUGGAAUAUGGUGGCAGGAGGCACCGCACACAGCUAAGGAACGAUCUCAAGGAUCAACUUGUGUAUCUAGAGGUGCCCCCCUGCCCCUGUAUAUAAAGGAGCCAAGGGGGAGGGGCUGGCUGGCCAAGGAGGGUGCGCCAGGAGAGUCCUACUCCCUCUGGGAGUAGGAUUCCCCCCCCCCCCCAAUCCUAGUUGGAAUAGGAUUCCUUAAGGGGGGGGGAAGAGAGAGAGGGGGGCCGGCCACCUCUCCUAGUCCUAAUAGGACUAGGGGAGGGGGGAGGCGCGCGGCCACCUUGGGCUGCCCCUUUCUUCUUUCCACUAAAGCCCACUAAGGCCCAUAUAGCUCCCGGGGGGUUCCGGUAACCUCCCGGUACUCCGGUAAAAUCCCGAUUUCAUCCGGAACACUUCCGAUAUCCAAACAUAGGCUUCCAAUAUAUCAAUCUUUAUGUCUCGACCAUUUUGAGACUCGUCGUCAUGUCCGUGAUCACAUCCGGGACUCCGAACUAACUUCGGUACAUCAAAAUGCAUAAACUCAUAAUAACUGUCAUCGUAACGUUAAGCGUGCGGACCCUACGGUUCAAGAAUAAUGUAGACAUGACUGAGACACAUCUCCGGUCAAUAACCAAUAGUGGGACCUGGAUGCCCAUAUUGGCUCCUACAUAUUCUACGAAGAUCUUUAUCGGUCAGACCGCAUAACAACAUGCGUUGUUCCCUUUGUCAUCGGUAUGUUACUUGCCCGAGAUUCGAUCGUCGGUAUCCAAUACCUAGUUCAAUCUCGUUACCGGCAAGUCUCUUUACUCGUUCUGUAAUACAUCAUCCCGCAACUAACUCAUUAGUUGCAAUGCUUGCAAGGCUUGUGUGAUGUGCAUUACCGAGAGGGCCCAGAGAUACCUCUCCGACAAUCGGAGUGACAAAUCCUAAUCUUGAAAUACGCCAACCCAACAUCUACCUUUGGAGACACCUGUAGAGCUUCUUUAUAAUCACCCAUUUACGUUGUGACGUUUGGUAGCACAGAAAGUAUUCCUCCGGCAAACGGGAGUUGCAUAAUCUCAUAGUCAUAGGAACAUGUAUAAUUCAUGAAGAAAGCAAUAGCAACAUACUAAACGAUCGGGUGCUAAGCUAAUGGAAUGGGUCAUGUCAAUCAGAUCAUUCAACUAAUGAUGUGACCUCGUUAAUCAAAUAACAACUCUUUGUUCAUGGUUAGCAAACAUAACCAUCUUUGAUUAACGAGCUAGUCAAGUAGAGGCAUACUAGUGACACUCUGUUUGUCUAUGUAUUCACACAUGUAUUAUGUUUCCGGUUAAUACAAUUCUAGCAUGAAUAAUAAACAUUUAUCAUGAUAUAAGGAAAUAAAUAAUAACUUUAUUAUUGCCUCUAGGGCAUAUUUCCUUCACUACAAUGGGAAACCGAGCGGGAAGGGGAGAGUCAGAUAGGAAAACCGAAGUUUUUGUCGUGGGAUGGGGGUUUUGUGUUGCGCCCUUGGGUUGGAGAUAACAAAUGGCGGAUAGUCCGGACAAUGACAUUUCUCCCCCACAUAUGAUCUGGAUUUCGGAAAGUCUGGACUGUCCAGACGGUUGAAUUUUGGGGAGCCCAUUGGGCACCGGACGUAUGAGGAAGAAAUGAGUUUCGAAUUUAAAGACGACUUUAAUCAUUUAUUUAAUUCAUUUAUGUGUGUUGUAGCCCGUAGCAACGCACGGGCAUUCUACUAGUAUAAGUUAUAACUCUGCUAUACUGCCAAUUUCUUGCAUGCUCAUAUGUAUGUUGUAUGGCAUUUAAUUUCUUUUGGUGGUCCUUUCCCUCUUUGAAUUGAAUGCCAACAUAGUAGAACAUGUACUGCAUAAGGUUCAGCAGGCUGGGUCUAACAAGGUAAAUCAUUAUUUCUCAUGCGGAAGUUUGCAGGAUUAUGCACACACAUUGUUUCGUUUCGUUGACCAUAGAACAUGAUUUGCUCUUUAUUUUCUCUCCUAUGCCUAAGGCUUUGAGCUCCUUCGAAAUCAUUACUAUAAUGAAAAGGAUGAGAAGUGAGUCCUUUAGACAUGGAACACACAUAAGUUCUUUGAAGAUCAUUUUAUUUGGGAUGUCAAUAACAGUUCUACCAAUUUGCAUCAAUUGUUUAUAUGCUAUACAAACCAUCACUUGGCCCUCUAUUGUCAUUAAUCAGAUGCACGGAAUUUGUGAAUAUAUAAAUAUUCUGGCUGAAGAUAGAACCAACUUGUGAUGGUUCCAUGUGGUACAUAUAACUGAAAUUGGUCAGAUGUUUCUAUAUUUCUUUCGUUAAGACAUCUUUUUUCCUUUGUUAAGAUGUGUCUAAGAUGGGCGGGCGCCGCAACGCGCGCCUUUAUGAUCUAGUACAGCGUGAUGGCGCUGGUGCGCAACUGUUGGUGCAGCACAUUCACCAUUAAUUAUAUUGUUUUUAACACAGUAUAAACGUAAGUGCUCAUAUAUUUAUACGCGCAUAUAUUCACCCCUUGUGAAUGCACGUACGCACACUCUAUCCCUAUGAGCACCUCUGAAAGACUGAGUUAGUAUAUUAUCUAAAUUUUACAAAGUCACCAUAGGCGCCUAUCCGGGAUAAAUGCAAGCAUCAUGACUUGAAUUCUGAUGGGCUGGGGAUAUCACUGUGCUCCUAACCAUUCAACCACAUAUUGGUUCACCGGGACUAAUCAUACCGGUGUAGCCAAGUCUUAUUUAAAAACUAUGGACCAAACUUCAUCCCAUAUAGUUGAACAACACUAGGGGUAGAAACGGAUCGGAUGCGGAUCGGAUAGUGCUCUUGCCACUUCCAUUUUCAUAUUUUCAAAACGAAUACGAAUUCGAAUACGGAUGUUAUCGGAUACGGAUGCGGCUCGGAUAUUAUUCAAAUACGGAUACGUAUCGGAUAUUUUCUUGAUUCGGAACGGAUACGAAUAAUAUCAACAUAUUGCUUAAGUAAAUCAGUCGAUAGCUAUGUGAACUGAAAUAAUCAACUUGUGACAUACAAUAAGUCAAUGAUAAAUAGGUUUAUGAAUAAAUACUAUUGUAAUGCAUAAUAAUUUAUAAGUUUAAUCAUAUAAAGAGUAAAAUUUGACCACUUAUUUGGCUUUUAUGUUGGAUAAUUGGAAUAUUGAGUCUAGAAAUUUGAAAAUUACCUCCCAUAAUCUUAUUCGGAUACGGAUAUAUCCACUUUCAUAUCCAUGUUUGUCUCAAAAUCUCCUACCAUAUUUUAUUUUUUAUUUGUUUAAUAAAUUCGGAUACGGAUAAUUUCCAUUUCCAUUUUGGUUCGGAUGCGGAUGUUUCGGAUACAAAUAGGCAUUUUCUCGAAUACGAAUAUCGGAUAUUUCGGAUUAUCCGCUAUCAAUUUCCACCCCUAAACAACACGCUGUUGCGGUCUGAUGUAGUUGCUACUCAUUUGUUUCUAAAGUAACUUGUAAUCAACUACUUCUUCCGUUUUGAAAUAGAUGACUCAACUUUAUACAAAGUUAGUAUAAAGUUGAGUCAUCUAUUUUGGAACGGAGGGAGUACUUCUGAUGAGAACAAAUCAAUAAAGUACCUUGUAAUCAAACUACUGAGAUAAUUUGUACCUUCUCUCCGUACCCAUGUAUAAUCAAGUAGCCUCUUAAUGUACUUUUCCUUUUUCUUCUUUGAAGCAAGUUUAUGAAGAAAAGAAUGAUGUAUUCUGAUCUCCAUGAAGCAACCAAUUAGCUCGUCCUCUCUAUAAAAACAAUUCUUCAUGAUACCGAAGAUUCUCAAUAUCUAGCCUAACAAAAAGAAGGUUAUCAAUAUUUGAAGAUCUUUUUUAUCCCUAAUCUCCCCGUCAGAUCACUUUGUCUCCAUUUCUGAAGGUCUUUUUUUAGCUUCGAUAUCCUCUUAUUUGGGCCUUUCAGAACCUCCAGAUCCCUCUGGUGUAGAUCUUUAUGAACAGCCUUGGUACAAUCAGGCAAGGGUGGCCUAGCUUGCUGGAUCCCAAGCCAAUUGGACUACCGCAUUGACGGUUUCUUCACACAACCAACGGGCUUCAAACUAUUUUCGGGCCUUCGAUUGUUGAGACAAAACAAAUUUUAAAAAAAUAUGAAGGAAAAUAGAUCAAUGGUCUGAAUGGACACGGUGCUCAUGAACCAACGCAUAUGGCAAUUUAUCCGCACACGCCUCAUUACUUGGUGAUGCCCUGGCUCCAGGUAAACUGAUCACCAAUAACAGUGGUCUGUUGAAGUCCACACAACCUCUGAAAUUAUGCAUCAAUUGUUGAGGUCGAACAUUACCACCCUCCUUCUCACUUGCAACCAAUCUCUCAUUAAAAUCACAGUAACUAACCAUGGACCAGCCGCAUUCCGUUGCGCGAGUAUGUCCAGGACAGGUGCUUCCUAUCCCAAGUUGGUUGUCCAUAAUAUCCUGUCAAGCGCCAUGAAGCAUCAUUUUCACCCAUAACAAUUGCAUCAAUAAAUUUUUCUAAAGAAUAGUUCAACACCACUUUAUUAGAUUGGUUAUAAAAAAGGACAAGGUUCCCCGAGCGACCAUCACUCUUUUUUUUUCAAGAAACUUCCAAUCUAUUUAUCGUCAAUCAUGGUGGUACAACAAACACCAGAAAUAAUAAAAAUUACAUCGAGAUAUGUAGACCACCUAGCGACGACUACAAGCACUGAAGCGAGCCGAAUGCGCGCAGUCGUCAUUGCCCCUCCCACACACGCAUACCUUACCACUAUGAGUACCUCCGACAAACUGAGGCGGCAUAUCAUCUUGAGAUGGACGAAGUCACCAAAGGCGUCUCGUAGUCGACGGGAACGUCUCCUCCCAUUAAACGCGCAUCGCAGAAAAUCCUGAAAUAAAUUCAGCAAUAAAUGUGAGCAAAAGGAUAUGAACUCUGGUGGACUGGGGAUACCACUGUCCACCUAACCAUUCAACCACAGAUUGGUAUUGCUAUGUACAAUUUGGGGUCAUGAUGACCGGAUAGCAGAUUGUGGAGCUUGUAUUUUUUUGUUUCUAUAAUAGCCGCAUGACCUGAAAGGUUUCUUUCCAUCCGGGGCAAUUAUCGUGUCAGUUAAUGGGGGGUGGGGGUGGAUAAACUGGUCACACGAUGCAUAGUUUUAACUUUCUACACCGUGAUAAAAUAAAAGGAAAUGAUUUUCUUCACCUGGCCUAUCCAUCGCGGGGCAUCCGCCGCCUCUAGUGUGCAGACGCGUGUCCUAUGUGGACCCUAUGCGUCGCUCUAUAUUUUUUCUUAUUCCCACCCAUGGUUGACCUUUGUUGAAGAAAAAGCUACAACAAGACCUCUGUUGCAAAAGUUUAUAUAUGCAGAAGACCUCUAUUUUUGCAAAAAAAAAAAGGAUUCUACAACAUGACCUAUGUUGCAAUGAUAGGCAAUAAAGAAAAAGAACAAAAGAUUAAACAAUUUGCAACAACUCUCUUGUUGCAGAAGGCAAAGCACAAUAAGGCUCAUGUUAGAUAGAUCGGAGGAAGAGAAAAAUGGUUUGAGGCUUUUUACGGUUAGUCCGUAGUUCGAAGCCUUUUGCAACAAAUCCUCUGUUGUAGAGAGACGGGUGCAACAACAUGCUUGUUGCAACUUCAUUUGCUCAUGUGAAGAAGAUGUAGUGACUUUCUUUGUCUUAGUCCGACGGCUAUGGAGGUGGACGAUCUUUUCCAUUGCUUAAACCGGCCAACACCUAGUGCAGCCCAUAAAAUAAUUCCCGGUGCCUUUCAAGCCUAUGCAACUCGUAUGGAACACACUUUCUACUCUCUUGAUGUAUGGAUUGUCUCAUCGUUUCUAGAGGAAAAUAAUUUGAAAUUGAGAGGCACGGAAGAGAUUGAUGUUUAUCAGUUGAGAAUUGAUGACAUGAAGGUGCCCCGCUGCCCACCGCAUUGCAUGGUUUUGUGUGGGCCCAUAAUAUUUCAGCACCUAUAAAUGAGCUCAGUUUGGGCAUCAUGACAUUUAUGUGUGUCAAACCACAUAUUUGUCGCGUCAUAGGCUCUCACCGAUUCCACGCCUCCCAACUAUAAACAUUCACGAAGAAUUAAAGCAUACAACCAGCCUACUAUAUCAAGUUGUGCUGAGAGCAGAGCAUCUCCAAUAACUGCCCUAUAAUAGGGCACCAAAAUUUGCUUGAAGUAAAAUUUGGGAUACAAAAAAGUGUUUUUAGGGCACGAGAAAGUGAGUGUCUCCAAAAGUUGCCCUAAAAUGGGGUAUUGAAUAGGGCACCAUUGCUCCAACAACUGCCAUAAAAAUAGGGCAACCGCACCACAUCUUUCUUCUCCACAUAUGGAUAGAAAUUAAACUUUGCAAGAUUUCCUUGAGUGUCUUCUCCACCAACAGCUGCUCACAAAAUUCAAUUACUGAACUUGAGUGUCUUCUCCACCAACAGCUGCUCAAAAAAUUCAACUACUAAAACCAAAUCUAACAGGAAGACCGACAAAAUCAAAGUAGAUACUAAAUUUGAGUGUCUUCUUUUAAUUUCUUUGUAUUGCACAGAACUACACACCAAAAUGGCAUGGGAUACAAUUUCAGCGAAUAACAAACGAAAUUGACAAGAAGUUCCUUUGUAACUUUCUUCAGUAAAAGGAACAGUGAAAGUCUGAACUUUCUGAAAACUAACACCUGCAUCUUGGCCUCUUACACUUUCGUCAGAAAAAGGAAAGCUGGAAACUGAACUUUACUAAUGAAUUACAUCGGGACUAGCAGCGGCGCAUUCAAGCAGCACCUCCACGACCCGUACAAACUCCAACAACCCAUUCUGCAGCACCACCACACAAACCACUAACUAGCCAUCAGGCUUUCAUUUAGCUUUGUACUCUCUCUGUAAACUAAUAUAAGAUUAUUUAGGUCACUAGAGGGAAUAUAUGAUAAAUGUGUUUGCUUUCGCAAAAAAAAAAAAUAUGAUAAAUGUGUUUGGAAGAGGGCUAACUUGCUUUAUUUGGAAUCGCCAAGGUGAAUCUAACUUCCUUUUUUCUUGGCAAAACAAAAUAACUGCACUAUCGUGCUACAAUCAGCAACAGAAUUGGUCACUACCCAUGCCAUGCAAUUCAGCUCAAUUCACUCUAUUAAAAAACUUCAAGUCAUAGCACGAGAAAUUUCCACUUUAAAGGAAUCGAAACAUCCUCACCACGCAACCCAGUAGAAAUGAAACAAUCCUACAUGCUCAACCCACAACAACGGAAGCUCCGAGCCGCACUAGCCCCGGGUCACCGCAAUUGCAUUUGAGAACUUAGCCAUGGCCUCGACAACAACAUUGAAGAAGGCGUCGGAGCCAAAGCCCUUUGUCUGGAUGUGCUAGCAAAGCUCCGCCACCACCCAUGGAGCUCGCUCAGCUUGGAUGGGUGGCCGGAGCCGAAUCUCGCAGGGAUAGAGAUCAAAUCGGACCUAGGGAAGAGGGGACGAGGUGAGGGGCGCUAGAGUUGGGGGAGGCAUCAACCGCAGUGAUGCUCGCAAGAGUAGAGGCAGGAAGGGCACGUGGGAAAACACCCGACCGACGAUUUUGCGACAGCGGCCCAAGUGUAGAGUUGGAUCAGCCGACGGUGAUUUGCAGGUGUAGAGGCAGGAAGGGUGCGUGGAAAACGCCCGACCGGCGGUUUUGCGACAGUACUUUAUGCUGUAUUUUUGGGCAGCGCUGGAAAUUUUGGAGCAAAUUUUACAUUAAGGGCAGGUAUUGGAGCAGUGUUUCUGGCCCCAAAUGCCCUAAAUACGUUAUGGGGAGAUUCUCUGAGUUGAUGGGGAGUUUAGGUGUUUACACACACUCCAAAUCACAAGUCUUACAACGGUUGUUUCAGGCCCUAAAUAAACACACAAAAUCUGUCAGGCAGAUUAACGUCUUACACCCACACAAACGGAAGCAAUUUGCUUGGCUUUACAUAUAUCCAAGGUAACAUUUCUAGAUCUGUUGGAGAAGCUCGUAUACAUUGGGUGCAUGUUGCAUGGAGAAGCUCAUACAAGUUAAAUGUGCAUGCUGAAUUUGGUAUCCAAGUCGAUCAGCUCAGGUACAAUGAGGAAUAUUACUUAGUUCCACAGUAUCUCUAACAAUGGUUGGAGAAGCUACACAUUUAAAUCUCAGACAUGCAUGUAUUUCGGAACGGAGGCAGUAGUUUUUUACAGAAUGUGACAUUUGGAACUAUAGACUGUUCUUUUCAACUACUCAGAAGGCUAACUAAAAUUUCAGAAACAUUUAUGAGAAAGAAAUAGAACAGCAUCACAUCAAAAAAAAAAGAUGGACGCAGGGCAGAAUUACAUAUAUCAAGAGUACUGCAAAAUUAAUAGCUGCAUAAAAUUCAGUCACAAACACAUAUAAUCCCACAUUACAUAAAACUCAGUCUUGGAACAAAACCAGACUAGCAUUAAACAGCUAAAUUGGACAGAACACAGGUAAGACAGCUUCCACAGCCAUAGCAGCAAACACGCCAGGAAUCACUAGACCAUGCCGUCCUCCCUCGAUGCCUGGCAGCCUGGAUGUAGGAUGAUGCUUCCCCUGCUCCAAGGCGCCUACUUGGAUCGCUGCCUCAUCUUUCGGCGCUUCCUCUUGAGCCUCCUCAUCCUCUUCUUCUUCCACUGCAAAUUUAAGUAACCGCACAGUUCAUCAGCACAAAUUGCGUAGUACUACUCUAGUAGAUGCAUGGCCAAAUAACAAGAAAGUACAAUUUGUUUUGGAAUCAGAAGAUUUGAGUGUUUCAUUGGAUAUCAUCACGUGAUUUUCAGAAACACGGACCAAUUGUUCUUCAUCAUUUCCCAAAGACUGACAAUGUUGAAAAGGCAAAUAGGAAACAACCAAACUAAGAUAUCUAAAGAACUAGCUAAGCAAAGUAGAGAUCUGCAGUCGGUUUGACAUUCAGAAUGAGUAGGAGGAUUUUAUCAUCAAAUGGAUCAGACGCCAAUAGUCAUCCUCAUCAUGCCAACCGACGCAAUUGAACGAAAGAAAGAACAAAUCUAGAAAGAAACACUGGCAAAGAAAACACUAUUCUCUCAGACAAAUGCCUCGAUUGUCCACAUGGUUUUAUAGAAUGGAUUACAUCGGACUCGUCAUAUGUUUUCAUCAUCACAGAGAACUAUAAACAAACAUGCGCAAAAAAUAUCAACUCAGUCAACAGAAACUACAUCCUAGAAUCUCUGAGAACAGGCAAAUCGAACUAUAAUAGCAGGUUCUCUCAGACAAAUUUGCCUCAUUUUUGUCCCCACGGUUGAAUGGAAUGGAUUGGAUCGGACAUCUAAUCAGUGUUGAUCAUCACAGAGAACCACUAAUUACGACAUCGAGCAACAGCAACAGCAGGAACGAAAGCUCGAUAAACACUAGCACAUGCCCAGAUCUACCGCGGUCGCGAAGCAGCUAAUAGGAGAGAAGGUAGACGAAGGGCAGUACGAACCUUGGCCCUCAUCGCGGCGGCGGAGUCGGCCUCGCUCUCCUUUUCGCGGCGGCGGCGGCGGAAGGGUGUGGACGAUCCCGAUCUCCGUAGAUUGUUGGCGGCGGGGGCUCUGGACUCGUACUUUAUAGGGGUGGGGUGCUGGGAAGGGGGGAAACCCUAGCGGGUGGACGGCUCGGAUCAGCCGCUGAGCGGCGUUCUGAUCCGAUUUGGUCGGUCUCUGGUUCGCAGCCCUAAUGGGCCUUCAAACCAACGUCUCGGCCCACGGUCACAUCUAAGAUGAUGGGCUUCCCUUCACCUGUUCUUAAACUGGGCCUCCUCCUCGCUUGCUUGACUCGGCCUGAUCGGUU
rnacentral:lncRNA from 1 species